CGACAGAGGAAGACCUGGACGAUUAAUAAGCCAAACGUGCGGACGUCACCAUCGCACUGAACCAGAAAGUCGCCGUCGGCGACUUCGCCGCUGUUAGGGCAUAUCCAAGCAGUUUCGUUAUUAGACGGUGAUCGAAAGUGAGAAAGAGUGUGAACAGUUCUCCCCAGAAGCCAACUAAGAAGAAGGUUGACGUGCGGGGCUCAAAGAGCGCGGCGCGCACGCGCACGUGGCAACGCGACAAUUUCGCACCUGGGCUGACUAAGCCCGCGCACAGCACGUGCCGGCAAGUACGACUCGUGUCAUCUAGCCUUCAGCUUCCAGCAACCUGACCACGUGUAGCGCCACUAACAGCAUCGAUUAA